rnacentral:lncRNA from 1 species
AAAACUCAUGCCAAUAAUAAAAAAAGUCAAAAUAUUAGCAAAAAUAGUAACUAUGAUAGUAUAAACGUACAAGAAAGGAGCAUAAGUAACACUACACCGAACAUUAAGGUUUAUAAAAAAAAUUGUAUAAGUAACGACGUCUAUAAUAAACGUACCGAAAACUGUGACAAACGUAACGAAAGCUGUGAUAAAUGUAACGACGUAACUGUUUUGAGUGAAAGAAAAAAGCUGUCCGACAUCGUUUGCAUUAGUAAUAACACGUUUGCUGUAAACAAAUGUAGUAAAACUUAUGACAUCGAAAAAGAAAAACAUUACAAAGAUGAUAGUAUUAAAAAAGAAAGUAAUUCAUUAGUUAAAAUGUUAGAACAUAAAAUAAAUAUAAAAGAGAAAGAUCUUGGUUCAUUAAGUGAAAAGGUGAAUGAAAAAAUUAACACAAACAUUAACAGAGUUGAAAAAAAAGAUAAAAUUGAGGUCAAACAAAGGGGUAUGACUUAUAGUGAUAGUUGUGUAAGUACUAACAACCAUGUUAGUAACAACCAAAACACCAGUGAAAAUAAAAACAAAACCGCUUCUGAUUGUAACAAAAAUUAUGAUACAAUAAAAAAUCAUACUAAUGAUUAUAAAACAGAUAACAAUAAACAUAUAAACAUAGAAAAACGUUCCAAUAUAAAUGAAAUAUUAACAAAUGAACCCAAUUUGAACAAAACAGCUACAGCAUUAUUAGAAGAAAACGAAAUGAAAACAUUAAAAGAAAAAAUUGUUAAUAAGGAUUACGCAUCAAAUGAUGAUAAUGAAUCGGGUGGUAAAUUAACAGAAGCAAAUUAUAAUACUGAUAAUAAAAUAAAAAAUGUUAUUCAAAAAAAUAUAAGUUAUGAUAAGAUAAAUACAAAAACAGAUAUAAUAUAUACACAUAACAAUGAAAAUGUAAAAAAUGAUACUACUUAUAAACGUGUUUUAACAAAUAAAGUAAUGUAUUCGCCUAAUAAUCAUUCAAAUGAGUUAGGUGGUUAUUCAAACGAGUCAGUCAUGCAAUCAAACGUGCCAGUCAUGCAAUCAAACGUGCCAGUCAUGCAAUCAAACGAGUCAGUCAUGCAAUCAAACGAGUCAGUCGUCCAAUCAAACGAGUGUAACAAACAUAAUCAACAGAGCGAAAGAAUUUAUAAACAC